rnacentral:lncRNA from 1 species
CCGUGUGUAAUGUACUGUUUUCAAAUUAUUAAAUAUUUCUAGUAUACAACACUUGUUCCAUUUCAGCCAUGACUGCCAUGUAUGUUGAUGUACCAAUACAUAUUAACAUACUACAAUCGAGAAAACUAUGAACACAUCAUGUCAUGUUGUUAUAUUUCAAUAUGUUCAGUUUGGCAUCAGUGGAGAAGAUAUUAAAAAGUGUAUUUAAAUGCAGGGCCGUAACUACCUAUGAGGCAGGGGAGGCAACUGCCUCCCCUGAAUUUUCUACACCAAAUUACCGGCUGAAUCAGCUGUUUUAACCGCUUCUCCCGAUCGUACGAGAACAUUAUGGUUAAUGCCUUAGUAGUUCACCCCCAUUCGUUGUAACAGGGACUUUCUAUACUAAGUAUAUACUUGACUGUAUUUAAAGUCCCUGUUUUAGUUAUAUACAUGUCUGUUCAGCUUUCAACAAUAUUGAAAUUCAAGGUCCUCGAUAAAAAAAUUAUCUUGCGUUCCAUGAUCUUAGUUGCUUUAUAUGUUUUUUUAACUUACCAGUUUGAUUUCUAAUAAAAAUAUCUUUAAAUACAGGUAAUAAUUGUUUGCAUAAAAAUUGCUUCCAGGAUCCAGCAUUACUGAUAUUUCUUAAAGUAAGGAAAUCGAAGAAAAACGGGUCAUUAAUAGCCAUAUU